UGUUACAUCUUGUCCCCAGGAGCCUCCAGUUGCCUAGGACUGGGGCCAGGACAGCAUUCCUGGGUCUCUGACCUCGGGGCCUGAGCAGCCUUUGAGAAAACUUGUGGAACGCUCAGAGCACCCCCGGGUCCUGGACCUCACGAGGCUCCGGGGUGCCACAAAGUGGCUGGUGGUCCCCAGGGUCGCGGAUCCGGCGCCUAUACCCAUCCUCUAGAGUGUCAUCUCCCCGAGACCACCAAAGAUCCACCAAGGUUAGGUGCCAAUGUCACCCCCCCCCCCACCCUUUAGAGAUACACAGAAGGACCCAGACUUGUUCAGGGUACCCCUUCCCCCAUGAGGUCGGGUCUCAAAACCCGAACUGCAAAGCUCCUCCGUCUCUCCCGCUCUAUUCACUCUGCUCCAGCCACGGGCACCUCCUCAUGGUUCUUACAACACACCAGGCGCGGUCCUGCCCCCGGGCCUUAGCACAGGCUGUGCCCUCUGCCUGAAAUGCCCUUUCCCAGGGCCGGCUCUUUCUCACAACUGAGGUCUGAGUUUGCACGUCCUCAGAGUCUAACUAGAUUUGAUCUGGGGGGAGAGAGGUGCCCAAGUCAGGGUGGAGCUGGCAGGACUGGGUGGUCCCUGUCUUCACCGCCUGGUAGGCCUCAAGUCCUGCACCAGCUUUAUUCUCUGUGCCUUUGCUCCAGCCGGGUCCCCAGCUGUCCCCAACCCCACCCCCACCCCCGCGGGCCCUUCCUCAGCCACAGGACACCUCAUCCCCCACACCUCCCACCUGGAGUCUGCCCCCUGCCGGGCCAGGCAGCCUGCUCCCGGCUUCAUUGCUGGGUCUGCCAUUCACAAGCUGUGUGACAGCAGGUAAAUCACUCAAUCUCUCUGGGCCCCCGACUCCAGAUCCUAAAAAACAGGCAUAACUAUGAGGAACCCAGCUUAGGAGCCGGGCGGGGAGAGAAGUGAAUGAGAUGACCCGUGACCUGCGCCCAGCACUGGGGUCUGACCGUUUCUCUCUGCCGGACUGGCCCUGCCUCCACUUUGAAAUCUUUCCAGUCAGGGAAUUUUCUAGAGUCCCAGUCCUCCGGCCUCUCCCACAGCUCCCCAUUGCCGCCCAGAUGCAGGCCACACACCGGCCCACAAGCCCCCCACCCCCCAUGAUGGUCAAGACCCUGCCCAUCGAUCUCUUCCACCUGAGGCCCUUGGAUGCUCCAAAUGCAUCUCGAGUCCUUGACCUCCAGAGCUUUGCAGACGCUGCUUCCAGCGCCAGGAGUGGCAGCGUCUCCUCCGUGGCACCUCGCCAGGCUGACUACUUACCCUUCAGGUCUCCUCGGUGGCCGGAUGCCUCCCUGGGCAGCCCUCAUCUGGCCACGGGGGAGAGGCAGGGACACGGGGAGGAGGCCGGCGGCAGCCUCGCCAGGAGCCCAGGCGGCAGGACAUGGGCAGAGUCUCCCCCGGGGCCUCAGGAGGAACCGCCCCCUGCCAACACCUGGGUUGUGGACUUCUGGCCUCCAGAGCUGGGAGAGAAGAAAGUUCAGUGGUUUCAUGACCCCCCCCUCCAGCCCCGCACCCCGGGGUGGUGGUUCCUUGUUACAGCAGCCGCUGCAGGCAAGGAACAUUCCCUGGGAGCCUUGCCCCAGGUCUGCGUCCAGGGGAGCCAGCGGGGCAAGGUGUCACCCCACCCAGAGUGGAGGGGGCAUCAUUCCCAGAAGUCACUGGUGCUGGCGGCUGUCGUCUUGUUCAAGCCACUGCUCAUUUCCCUAAGGGACGGGCCUGGGCCCCGCUGGAAUCCUACAUCUGUGUCUUUGCAUUUUUCAAGUCCCAGCCCUUUGUGGUGAGAGACUUGGGGUUUUAUGUUGUGAUUCUCACCACGGCCUUAAGGGAAGACGAUGGGAGCGUGGAUAUUUAGGGGAUGUUUGGGCUGCGCAGCAGAGCACCGCGAGCUGGGCGGCUGAGAACAUCCGAAAUUUAUUUUUUUCCAAGUUCUGGAGACCAGAGGUCCACGAUCAACCUGUCGGCAGCGUGUACCUCCCCCACCCCCCGACCCCCUCGAGGGCUCCUCUAGCUGCUGGAACCUGCUCUGCCCACGUGAGCCAGCCAGUGAGCACCCCUGGGAGCGGCCCCGGACCCACGACCGGUGGGACCCCGUGGACCAACACUCCAUCUCUCGCGCUCCUCAGGCGAUCAGAUGAAAUGGCUUUGGGGAUCUGCUUCUGAGGGGAGCCGAAACUAGGAGGCCGCCUGAGAACAGAGCCGGUGCAUAAGAAAACAGAACAAAGAGACCGAGAGACGCCCAGGAGAUUUCUGUCCCCACACAAUUAACCUCCCAGGGAAGAGGUGAGGCUUCCAGAACCUCACCCGAGAAGGGACACCCGGCACAACUGUAAGCCUGAUAUUCUAUUUCUGCUUCACCCACCUCUACCUGCCACCCAAUGUUUGCAGGGGGAGCCUCCUUUCGCGGUGCUGGCGGGGGCACGCUGAAGGUGUCCGGCUCCUCAGGCUGUUAGAAAACACAUGUCAGAUGGGGUGACGGGAUGUGUCCCGGAGCUCAGAGUCACAUGUAGUCGCGUGUCCUUCCCUCCUUCCUCCCGCAUCCCCGCAUCCCCUGUUGCACUCAGUGUCCAACUUGCCCCCCUCUGCGAGGAAUGCCCUGGGGGUCGGGGGGGCAAGGUGUGCAAGGGGUCAGGCAGGGAGAAGCCGUCCACCCGCAGCCAGACCCGGGCCCCUCUGUCUCUCGGUCUCUCCUCUCCGGGCAUCUCUGUUCCCGUCUCCCCUUGUGUUUCUCUCACUUACUCUCUCCUGCCUGUCGUGUUUCCUUCGGUGGCUCCGUGUCUGUCCCUUCGGCCCCGCGAUGAUGUGGUUGGCCUCCGUCUCCCCCCGCCGCGCCCUUGGAGCCCGACAGUGGCCCUCGCUGACCCAGCAGGCUGCUCCUCCCCUCGGACCGCUCACCUUCGGGGGGACAGAUGCACAGUCAGCAGAGGCCUUCUGAACACCGUCCCCCAGGGGCCACCCACUGCCCUUUGGGCUUGCCACUCUGCUUUUCCCCGUGGCCCCCAGGAGCCAGCGAGCCUGCAGAGAGGAGACGAUCAUCCCAAAGGCUGCAGCCGACGAGGGGGGCCGGACUGCCUUCCUGGCCCCAGAGCCCCGGGUCAUCCUGCCCCGCAGGCCCGGCGUCGGCUGCAAACCAACAGCGGCCUCGCUGUUUGGCCAGACUCCCCCCUUUCUCUUCCUACCUCCCCCCAUCCCCCCGCAGAAGGCAUUUCUGAGCAGAGGGAUCUGUCUGUCUGUCUGCCUGGGACAACGUGCGAGGCGCCCGACGACGCACCAUGGUGACCAAGACAAAACCCCUGACCUUACGGAGCUUCUGUUCCAGCUGAGAAGAGGGAAGACAGCCAAACAACGAAUUAGCUUAAUGAAUAAAGCAGCCAUCAGACGAAUCA